rnacentral:rRNA from 1 species
CCCUACGGGGCGCAGCAGUGGGGAAUAUUGCACAAUGGGGGGAACCCUGAUGCAGCGACGCCGCGUGGGUGAAGGAGUACUUCGGUACGUAAAGCCCUAUCAGCAGGAAAGAAAGUGACGGUACCUGACUAAGAAGCCCCGGCUAACUACGUGCCAGCAGCCGCGGUAAUACGUAGGGGGCAAGCGUUAUCCGGAUUUACUGGGUGUAAAGGGAGCGUAGACGGCAGUGCAAGUCCGGAGUGAAAGCCCGGGGCCCAACCCUGGGACUGCUCUGGAAACUGUAAAGCUGGAGUGCGGGAGGGGCA